UUUAGUUAACCAUAAAAAAUGAAUAUGAUAAGGCCUUGCAUAAAUACUGAUAAGGGGUCUGUCAAUUAUUUUUUUGUUUAGUUAACCAGAAAAUUGAUUUGUUUUGUUUAGUUAAUGGGUCUGUGAAUUAUUUUUUUGUUACGUUAACCAUAAAAAAUGGGCCUGUUUAAUUAACCAGAAAAUUGAUUUGUUUUGUUUUGUUUAAUUAAUGGGUCUGUUUAGUUAAUGGCUUGACUACUGUGUUUCUGUGUAAUGUGGAAAUGGUUAAAAAAAUUAAUUUCUUUAGUUAAUUUGGGUCUGAUUUGUUCUAAAUUUAUUCUGAAAUUUGGGAAUUUUGUGAUUUGUUCUUGCUUGAAAGCUGCCCGUCGAAGCUCUGGUCCUUAAACUUUAAUUGGUGUUUUAUGUCGUUCUUGCUUAUUUAACAUUUGUUUGGUUGCCGAGAAACAGAGCAAAGGGAUAAUGAUUGCAUCUAUUAGUGUUUUUUUACAAAAAUGGAAAGCUCUCUGCUCUCAUCUUCUCCUAUCUUGAUUUUAUUUAUUUGUUUAUUUUAUUUCAAAUUACACUCUCACUAACCAAAAACAAGUUUUCUUUUUAUUUCAAAAAUGUUGUCAGGAGAUUCUGCCAAGCUACUGGAUAUAGGGGUACUGUUCAGCGCCGUGAGAGUGUUGAAGAAAAGAUUGCUCGCCAUGCUCAAGACGGAACACGUACCACCAGCAUAUAAAGAUCGAGGGACUGAAUCUAUCUUUGAUCUGUUUGUUCUAAGUCUUUUCUUGACUAUGUUAAUCUCUACCUUCAAUCUGCCUCCAAAGCCAGACCAGAUGCCCUCCCAAGGUCAGCUUUGUAAAUUCGAUUGCGACAAUUAAGGGUGGGACUCAUGUUGAUUAUGUUACCAACCAGAUUCCUUCUUUCUUAGUUGAGUUCAUUACACCUAUUGUGAAGGCAUAGUAUUUGGUGUCUCAUUUUUGCAAAAAUGUCGUUUGGGGAAGCAAUCUUGCAAGGAGUUACCUGACAGCUCUAAAGAUGGAGGUAAUGAUGCUUCUCACUCAGGUGAAGCUACAGCCCGCAGAGGAUCAAGUAGUUUUGCUCGCCCUGACGUUGUAUUGUGUUGUAUUGUUAAUGAAUGUGUUUGAAUGUUAAUGCUUCAAUUUAGAGUUGUAUUGUGUCGAAUGUUAAUGAAUUAUGUGUUGUGCCGAAUGUUAAUGAUUCAGUUAAUUUGAAUGAUGCUUUAAAA